UAGGUGAAUGCCCGUUGGUUUGGGCGCUUAGCUGUUAACUAAGAUUUUGGGGAUCAAAGCCCUCUCAUCUAA
rnacentral:tRNA from 1 species